AACGAACGCUGGCGGCAUGCCUAACACAUGCAAGUCGAACGAGACCUUCGGGUCUAGUGGCGCACGGGUGCGUAACGCGUGGGAAUCUGCCCUUGGGUUCGGAACAACAGUUGGAAACGACUGCUAAUACCGGAUGAUGACUUCGGUCCAAAGAUUUAUCGCCCAAGGAUGAGCCCGCGUAGGAUUAGCUUGUUGGUGAGGUAAAAGCUCACCAAGGCGACGAUCCUUAGCUGGUCUGAGAGGAUGAUCAGCCACACUGGGACUGAGACACGGCCCAGACUCCUACGGGAGGCAGCAGUGGGGAAUAUUGGACAAUGGGCGAAAGCCUGAUCCAGCAAUGCCGCGUGAGUGAUGAAGGCCUUAGGGUUGUAAAGCUCUUUUACCCGGGAUGAUAAAGACAGUACCGGGAGAAUAAGCCCCGGCUAACUCCGUGCCAGCAGCCGCCGUAACAC
rnacentral:rRNA from 1 species